AUUGAACGCUGGCGGCAGGCCUAACACAUGCAAGUCGAACGAGUGGCGGACGGGUGAGUAAUGUCUGGGAAACUGCCUGAUGGAGGGGGAUAACUACUGGAAACGGUAGCUAAUACCGCAUACCAUCGGAUGUGCCCAGAUGGGAUUAGCUAGUAGGUGGGGUAAAGGCUCACCUAGGCGACGAUCCCUAGCUGGUAUGAGAGGAUGACGAGCAACACUGGAACGGAGACACGGUCCAGAAUGGGACGGGAGGCAGCAGUGGGGAAUAGUGCACAAUGGGCGAAAGCCUGAUGAAGCAAUGCCGCGUGUAUGAAGAAGGCCUUCGGGUUGUAAAGUACUUUCAGCGGGGAGGCGGUACCCGCAGAAGAAGCACCGGCUAACUCCGUGCCAGCCGCCGCGGUAAUUC
rnacentral:rRNA from 1 species